UUAUAAGAGACAGCAGUCGCCGCGGUAAUACAGAGGGUGCGAGCGUUAAUCGGAUUUACUGGGCGUAAAGCGUGCGUAGGCGGCUUCUUAAGUCGGAUGUGAAAUCCCUGAGCUUAACUUAGGAAUUGCAUUCGAUACUGGGAAGCUAGAGUAUGGGAGAGGAUGGUAGAAUUCCAGGUGUAGCGGUGAAAUGCGUAGAGAUCUGGAGGAAUACCGAUGGCGAAGGCAGCCAUCUGGCCUAAUACUGACGCUGAGGUACGAAAGCAUGGGGAGCAAACAGGAUUAGAUACCCCUGUAGUCCCUGUCUCUUAUAC
rnacentral:rRNA from 1 species